UGGUUCUGGCGUNGAUGAAGAACGCAGCGAAAUGCGAUACGUAAUGCGAAUUGCAGAAUUCCGUGAGUCAUCGAAUCUUUGAACGCACAUUGCGCCCAUUAGUAUUCUAGCGGGCAUGCCUGUUCGAGCGUCAUUUCAAACUUCAAGCUUUGCUUGGUAUUGAAGUCAGCGGCUUUUCGCGGCUUCCAAAUAUAUCAGCAGAUCUACGGUGAUUUAGACUUAGUAAUUUCCUCUAGUCUGUGAUCAUUUGUAUCAUCUUGCUUUAAACUCUGUCCAGUAAUUCUGGAAGAAUUAUAGUUUGACCUCGGAUCAGGUAGGAAUACCCGCUGA
rnacentral:misc_RNA from 1 species